rnacentral:sRNA from 1 species
CUCUCCACAUUUCACGUUUUUCUUCUUCUUACGUUAGAGCAUUGGGCGUUUUCAACUGGGUUUUAGGCUAAUUUAUUUUUGGUACCAAAAAAAUCCUCCCCUCAAACAAAGGGUUAUGAUUCUUCUACCUCACCUAUAGCGGAAGUUUUCCAAACUGGUAAGAUAUUGUCCGUUUUGAACUAAGUCUUCACAGAUUUUCUUUUGAUACCACUCCAAAAGACCUAUUAUUAAAGGAGGUAUUCUAUGUGUAUAUAAACUCAUGUCUAUUUUUUAUUUAUCCGAUGUGAGACUUUAUUUAUACCCAACAGAUACAAAUUGUUUUUUGUUGCCAAGAAUGUUUAUGAGAUAUAUUAUAAUUUUUAAAUUAGUUUCAAAACACUCAUUUAUGAUUUGUCAUGAAAUUGGUGUUAUUUUUCAUGUAACAAAGUUACAUACACGGAGAG